rnacentral:lncRNA from 1 species
AGCUAUUUCUCUUUUCAAUAUAAUCUUAUUUAGUAGUCAAACCUAAUAUUUUAACUCGACAAGCAUCGAUGACUCGUUAUUCCAAGGGUAACGUAACGUGUAAUCUGUCUUAUUUUUCGGGUUUUUAGUUUCGUUUUUGCUGAUUAUUAUUUGUAAUUAUCAUUUAGGUGACUUAAUAGUGUUGUAAUUUUUUUUUUAAAAUUAAACUCAUAAAUUUGAUAUGUAAUAUAUUACAGUGUACAAGAAACAUUACCCACCAGCACUAGGAGAUGAAGUGUGGCGGCUUGAGAAGAUUGGAAAAGAUGGAACUUUUCAUAAGAAGCUGUCUUCAAAUGGAAUCAACACUGUACAAGAUUUCUUGAAGUUGGCCACUGUUGACACACGCAAGCUUAGAACUGUAAGCCUCUAAUGUGACUUCACUAGAAUAUUCCUUUAAUUGAUUGGAUAAACAAAUCUAAAUUACAUAUGAAAAACAAUCUUUUGAAGCUUAGAACUGUAAACCUCUAAUGUGACUUCACUAGAAUAUUCCUUUAAUUGUUUAAUUUGCUACUGACAAAAUGAGAUAAACAAAUCUAAAUUACAUAUGAAAAUGAAUCUUUGUAUAAAUCAAC